rnacentral:rRNA from 1 species
UACGUAGGGAGCAAGCGUUGUUCGGAUUUACUGGGCGUAAAGAGCGCGCAGGCGGUCGAUUUAGUCGUGUGUGAAAGCCCCCGGCUCAACUGGGGAGGGUCACGCGAUACUGAUCGACUCGAAGGCAGGAGAGGGUAGUGGAAUUCCCGGUGUAGUGGUGAAAUGCGUAGAUAUCGGGAGGAACACCAGUGGCGAAGGCGACUACCUGGCCUGUUCUUGACGCUGAGGCGCGAAAGCUAGGGGAGCAAACGGG